rnacentral:rRNA from 1 species
UACGGAGGGUGCAAGCGUUAUCCGGAUUCACUGGGCUUAAAGCGUGUGUAGGCGGAUCGUUAAGUGUCUUGUGAAAUCCCACGGCUCACCCGUGGAACUGCUGGGCAUACUGGCGAUCUUGGGCCAACUAGGGGCAACUGGAACAAGCGGUGGAGCGGUGAAAUGCGUAGAUAUCGCUUGGAACGCCAAAGGUGAAAACAGGUUGCUGGGGUUGUGCCGACGCUGAGACACGAAAGCCAGGGGAGCAAACGGG